rnacentral:misc_RNA from 1 species
UGAGAUGAUGGUGGGAGAGUGUCUCACCGGGAUUGCCAAAAGAAUCAAAUACUUAGAAGAUUGAAAGUACAUCAGUUUAAUUUAUAAUCGAAAACUAGUAAUGGAAUAUUAGACAUUGAUGAACUAAAAUAGAAAAAUGUAUAUUGUAGUUAAUGGCAAUGAAAUAAACUCUAAUCAGCUGACUGUAAGAUGUCAGAUUGUACUUACUGUCUGUAAAAUCUGCGGUGACCAUAUUAGAUUGUAUGAUGUGAUUCAAUUUUUCUUCCAUCUGAUAUCAGACAAAGGUUUCAGUUUCUACAUGUAUAUAUGCACAUCAUACUAUCGUUUGUUUAUUAAAAUCCAAAGUCUUCAAAACUAUGUGUACGGGACCGCGAUUUAUAAUUAGUUUUUAAAAAUGUAAUUAUUAUACACUGAUUAUGAAUGUAUAGAACUUGAAUAGUCAUUUAAAAAUUUUUAUAAUGU